rnacentral:rRNA from 1 species
UACGGAGGGUGCAAACGUUGCUCGGAAUUACUGGGCGUAAAGCGCGUGUAGGCGGCCGAGUCAGUCGGGUGUGAAAGCCCUGGGCUUAACCCAGGAAUUGCGCCCGAUACUGCUUGGCUAGAGUACAGGAGAGGGUAGUGGAAUUCCCGGUGUAGAGGUGAAAUUCGUAGAUAUCGGGAGGAACAUCAGUGGCGAAGGCGGCUACCUGGACUGAUACUGACGCUGAGACGCGAAAGCGUGGGGAG